rnacentral:lncRNA from 1 species
GUCCCAUAUAACCUUACACUUUCUCUGUGGCCUCCAAUCUCCAUGAUACAUACGUCCCACUUGACAACACAACUUAGAUUAGCUACAAACUCUUUUUACUCUAUAUGUUUAUGAGGUAUUAUACUAUAAAUCCCUUCUUGCUCUGCUUCUGCUCACCCCUGUCUCCUCUCAUCUUUCCGGCUCCCGCCACGAGGGAAAAUGAAUGAAUCUUGUGUGGAUGUCUGAGUUACAGCUGCUGGUGACCCUUGCUCAGCUGUGCUACAUCCUUGUAUUAUUAAUCUUCAUGCCAUUUCCUGCUCCAAUUAACUCUCUGGAAAUAGAAACCUUGCAACUACUUUCGUCAACCAAGUUAGUUUUCAUCUAAUUUGAUAUGUACCUGCAAAGCCAUGACAAAUGAACGAAUAGUUAAUCUUGGAGUGAAACCAUAGAAUUGACAGCGCAAAGCUGAAUGUAAAAUCCGAGCACAACAUCAUAUCCAACUAAGAUUUGGGAUACCUUUUCCUGCAAGCAGGCCACACAGCAACAACAUCUCCAAAGCUAAGCAUCAGUUCGAAUAUAUGCUCAAUCCUCCAUGUCACUGGAAGUAACAUCUAAGCACCUGAAAGACUAAUCUUGUAUCAGACUAUCAGUAGGCAACAACUGCAGAGCAGUAACUAUAUGUGAGCAUAUCACAUAAAUCAAAAGACAAUUUAAAUGAAAGGGUCAAUUAUUAAAAGGAGAAAAUCUUAAGAUGGCAUGCCUCAAACCCAGCAGAGAGGCAAGCAGCCCCCAAAAACAUACUGUAGUGAUCGCUGAUGAAUCCUAAACUUAUCCUAAUCUACUUCACUUCAAAUGCGGUGUGCCACAAUUGGAUUACAACCACCGAUUGUAGAAAUAAAAAUGUGUUGAUAUGGGAGAGCUUUGCCUUCCAGGUGGCCUCUAGCUCGGCGACCUCAUGCUCACGCAAUGCAAUGUAGCUCUGCAUCUCACGCUCCUUCAUGGUGUGAAAAAAAAAACAGAAAACAAGAUAAAAUUAGUUUUCAGUUGCUCAUAUCUGCCUCCUUGGCUCUCUGAGAAUCAGGAUGUUUCCCGUUGUUAGGUAUGGUAGGAAACUUAUACUACACAAGAACAACUUCUAUCAAUUUAAAAUUUGAAGUUUCCAUGGUAAAGAUUAUGCUUAGUAUUCUGGACAAUUUCUUGAUCAUGUUCCUUAGCGGGCAAUGUAGUAAAAUUGGGACGAUCUGCUUCAGCAACCAUUGAUUCCAGAUCACCUGGUGUGGUUUGCUCUUGAGCAUUCUUAUCCCCAGG